rnacentral:rRNA from 1 species
AUUGAACGCUGGCGGCAGGCCUAACACAUGCACGUCGAACGAGUGGCGGACGGGUGCGUAAUGUCUGGGACACUGCCUGAUGGAGGGGGAUAACUACUGGAAACGGUAGCUAAUACCGCAUACCAUCAGAUGUGCCCAGAUGGGCUUAGCUAGUUGGUGGGGUAAAGGCUCACCAAGGCGACGAUCCCUAGCUGGUCUGAGAGGAUGACCAUCCACACUGGAACUGAGCCACGGUCCAGACUCCUACGGGAGGCAGCAGUGGGGAAUAUUGCACAAUUGGGGCAAGCCUGAUGCAGCCAUGCCGCGUGUAUGAAGAAGGCCUUCGGGUUGUAAAGUACUUUCAGCGGGGAGGCGUUACCCACAGAAGAAGCACCGGCUAACUCCGUGCCAGCAGCCGCGGUAAUUC